UACGGAGGGUGCAAGCGUUAUCCUGAUUCACUGGGUUUAAAGGGUGCGUAGGUGGGUUGGUAAGUCAGUGGUGAAAUCUCCGAGCUUAACUUGGAAACUGCCAUUGAUACUAUCAGUCUUGAAUAUUGUGGAGGUCAGCGGAAUAUGUCAUGUAGCGGUGAAAUGCUUAGAUAUGACAUAGAACACCAAUUGCGAAGGCAGCUGGCUACACAUAUAUUGACACUGAGGCACGAAAGCGUGGGGAUCAAACAGG
rnacentral:rRNA from 1 species